AGAGUUUGAUCAUGGCUCAGAGUGAAUGCUUGUGGUAUGCCUUAACACAUGCAAGUCUAAUUUUUAAAAGUAUAUUUUUAAAAAUGCUAAGAGGUGAGUAGUAUGCAAGUAGACUACCUAAUAAUAUAGUUAAAAUUUUUUAUGUAAUACUGCAUAGUGAAAACAACUAAUCGACGUUUUCAUAAAGAUUAUUAUCGUUAUUAGAUGUUCUUGUAUAAGAUUAGGUUGUUGGGGAGUUAAUAGCUGACCAAGCCUUAUCUUUAGUUGAUCUGGGAGGAUGAUCAAUCACAUUGGGAUAGAAAUAAGGCCCAACUUUCUUCUAAGUAGCAGCAGUGGGAAUCUUGGACAAUAUGCGAAAGCAUGAUCCAGCGAUAUCGCGUUGGGGAUGAAGAUUUAAUUAUCGUAAACUUUUAGCCAUUUUUUGAAUAAUGAUCAUUAAAUGGAAAGCUCCGACUAACUUCGUGCCAGCAGUCGCGGUAAAACGGGGGGAGCUAGCGUUACUCGGAGUAAUUGGCGUAAAGGGUGCGUAGGUUGUAUUUAUUUACAUACGUUUAAAGAUAAUAGGUGUAACCUUUUAUAGAAUGUAUCUGAUUAUAAUACUGGAGUUUAAAAGAGGAAAGUCGUACUUUUAGUGGAAAGGUAGAAUUUGUCAUAUAUUAAGGGGACGGUCAAUAGGUGUAGGCACUGUCUAUAGUAAAACUGACGCUCAAGCACAAAAGUAUGGGGAUCAAAUAGGAUUAGAGACCCUAGUAGUCCAUACCCUGACCUAUGAGUGUUGAAUAUGAGAAAACUAUUUUUGUAUUUAAGUUAACGCUUAAACACUCCGCCUGGGCAGUACGAUCGCAAGGUUGAAACUCAAAGGAAUUGACGG
rnacentral:rRNA from 1 species